AGUCAAGCGAGCGAAGGCAUGUGGAGGAUGCCUGGGCACACGGAGGCGAGGAAGGCCGUGGUAAGCUGCGAUAAGCCAGGGGGAGCGGCACACACGCUUUGAUCCCUGGAUGGCCGAAUGGGGAAACCCGGCCGCCAGUAAUGGCGGUCACUCGUUUCGACGAGAGCAAACCUGGGGAACUGAAACAUCUAAGUACCCAGAGGAAGAGAAAUCAACUGAGAUGCCCCUAGUAGCGGCGAGCGAAAAGGGCGGAGCCCAAACCAGUCUCCUUCGUGGGACUGGGGUUGUAGGACCCACAGACGCGUACACUGAAGUAAGCCGAAGUCCCCUGGAACGGGGCGCCAGAGCUGGUGAGAGCCCGGUAGGCGAAUACGAUGUAGUGUGCGUAGUGGAGUUCCUGAGUAACGCCCGACACGAGAAAUCGGGCGUGAAACUGGGGGGACCACCCUCCAAGGCUAAAGACUCCCGUGUGACCGAUAGUGGACGAGUACCGUGAGGGACAGGUGAAAAGCACCCCAGUGCGGGGAGUGAAAGAGAUCCUGAAACCACAUGCCUACAAGCGGUAGGAGGUUGGCGGUUGCCCUCGGGUGACCGUACGACUGACUGCGUGCCUUUUGCAUUAUGAUCCGGCGAGUUGCUGCUUGAGUGCGAGGCUAAGCCGUUCUGCGGCGGAGCCAUAGCGAAAGCGAGUCCUGUAACGAGGGCGUUAGAGUACUUGGGCGCAGACCCGAAGCCAGGGCGAUCUACCCAUGAGCAGGGUGAAGGUGGGGUAACACCCACUGGAGGCCCGAACCGGUGUGGGUUGAAAACCGCUCGGAUGACUUGUGGGUAGGGGUGAAAGGCCAAUCAAGCCUGGAGAUAGCUGGUUCUCCCCGAAAUCUAUUGAGGUAGAGCCUCGAGGCAUGUCAGCAGGAGGUAGAGCGACUGGAUGGGCGCGGGUGCCGACAAGGCAUACCAACUCCAACCAAACUCCGAAUGCCUGACUGAUGGACCUCGGGAGGCAGUCGUUGAGCGAUAAUGUCCAACGGCGAGAGGGAAAGAACCCAGAGCCACCGCUAAGGCCCCGAAGUGGCCGCUGAGUAUAGCGAAGGAUGUUUAUCUGCUGUGACAACUGGGAGGUUGGCUUAGAAGCAGCCAUUCCUUUAAAGAGUGCGUAAUAGCUCACCAGUCCAGCGGGUAGGCGCCGAGAAUGGUCGGGAUUAAGCGGCCCGCCGAAGCGUGGCCUUGAGACUCAGGUCUCAGGGGUAGGGGAGCGUUCCCCGUGCUGUGAAGCCCCGGUGGAAACCAAGGGGUGGAGCGAGGGGAAGUGAGGAUGCCGGAAUGAGUACGCGCAAAUCGGGGUGAAAACCCCCGACACCGUAAGCCCAAGGAUUCCUGCGCCAUGGCAAUCAGCGCAGGGUGAGGCGGACCCUAAGGCGAGGCCCCAGAGGCGUAGUCGAUGGACAGCCGGCGAAGAUUCCGGCCCCGCCGUACGAGCGUUUGACCGAAGCAGGGACACUGGAACGAUAUGGGAGCGGCUUUGUGGAUGGCCGUCUAAAGACGUAGGCGAAAGCCGAGAUCUGAAUGCGAGUUGCGCCCUUCGGGGCAAUUCAAGUCCUGUGGAGUCUGCAGUCUAGAAAAGCUGUCUUCGGGAGUUCGAACGGCGUCCGUACCGUAAACCGACACAGGUGGGCGAGGCGAGUAGCCUAAGGUGAACGAGUGAAACGUGGUCAAGGAACUCGGCAUAAUGAUCCCGUAACUUCGGAAUAAGGGAUGCCUGGAAUGGUAGCUGGCCUCGCGCCAGUCGCUGUCCCAGGCCGCAGUGAAUCGGCCCAAGCGACUGUUUAGCAAAAACACAGGUGUGUGCCAAGCCGCACAAGGCGCUGUAUACACACUGACGCCUGCCCGGUGCCGGAAGGUUAAGGGGAGGGGUUAGUCACCUUCGGGUGGCGAAGCUCUGAGCCGAAGCCCCGGUAAACGGCGGCCGUAACUAUAACGGUCCUAAGGUAGCGAAAUUCCUUGUCGGGUAAGUUCCGACCUGCACGAAUGGCGUAACGACUUGGGCACUGUCUCGACCACGUGCUCGGCGAAAUUGCAGUCUCGGUGAGGAUUCCGAGUACCCGCGACAGGACAAAAAGACCCCAUGCACCUUUACUGUAGCUUGCCAUUGGUCGUUGCACUUCGCUGUGUAGCAUAGGUGGGAGGCGUUGAUCGCCGGGCGCUAGCUCGGCGGGAGCCAACAGUGAAAUACCACCCUGCGUUGUGCGACGCCCUCACCACGGCUCGCAAACCGAGUCUGGGACCGUGGCAGGUGGGCAGUUUGACUGGGGCGGUCGCCUCCGAAAGAGUAACGGAGGCGCGCGCAUGGUGCCCUCAGCGCGGUCGGUAAUCGCGCGACGAGCGUAACGGUAGAAGGGCGCCUGACGGCGAGAGCGACGGCUCGAGCCGCCACGAAAGUGGGCCGUAGUGAUCCGGUAGCCCGGUGUGGAUCGGCUAUCGCGCAACGGAUAAAAGGUACGCUGGGGAUAACAGGCUUAUCGCGCCCGAGAGUUCACAUCGACGGCGCGGUUUGGCACCUCGAUGUCGGCUUAUCACAUCCUGGGGCUGGAGAAGGUCCCAAGGGUCCGGCUGUUCGCCGGUUAAAGUGGUACAUGAGCUGGGUUCAGAACGUCGUGAGACAGUUCGGUCUGUAUCCGUCGUGGGCGUUGGAGAGUUGAGGGGCGCGGACUCUAGUACGAGAGGACCGAGUCGGACUGCCCGCUCGUGUCCCGGCUGUACCGCCAGGUGCAACGCCGGGUAGCGAUGGCAGGCGGGGAUAACCGCUGAACGCAUCUAAGUGGGAAGCCCCCCCCAAGAUGAACUCUCCCGGAGCUUCGAGCUCCCUAAAGGGCCGUGAGAGACCAUCACGUCGAUAGGCCGCACGUGGACGGGGCGCAAACCCCUCCGAGCGCAGCGGUCCUAAUCGCCCGUGCGGCUUGACUAC
rnacentral:rRNA from 1 species